rnacentral:rRNA from 1 species
UGGCUCAGGAUGAACGCUGGCGGCACGCUUAACACAUGCAAGUCGAACGGAGAACUUUUGGUUUACUGAGAGUUCUUAGUGGCGGACGGGUGAGUAACACGUGAGCAACCUGCCUCUGAGAGAGGGAUAGCUUCUGGAAACGGAUGGUAAUACCUCAUAACAUAACGAAGCCGCAUGACUUUGUUAUCAAAGAUUCAUCACUCAGAGAUGGGCUCGCGUCUGAUUAGAUAGUUGGUGAGGUAACGGCCCACCAAGGCGACGAUCAGUAGCCGGCUUGAGAGAGUGAACGGCCACAUUGGGACUGAGACACGGCCCAAACUCCUACGGGAGGCAGCAGUGGGGAAUA